rnacentral:lncRNA from 1 species
UUCACUUAUGCAAGUUUAGCAAAAUUGCAAAUUGGUUUCAUUUGGCAUAAGCAAGCUUAGCAUUUGAUUAAGCCAUGCUAAACAGAAGUAUAAGAGCCAUUUUUUGCUCAUUUACAACCCUAGAGAGAGCAGCCACACGACAGAAAAACCUUGAUACUCUCUCAUUCUCCAUUUUUGCAUUUUGCAUUUUUCUGCUUAAGCAUUCAAAAACCCUCGAACAACUUGGUUUGCUCCAUCAUCUGGACAACAU